UCUCCUGUAGCUCAGUGGUAGAGUGUCCAACCAGUGUAUGGGAAGAUCAUAGGUUUGAUUCCUGUUGGGAGAA